rnacentral:misc_RNA from 1 species
UGAUAUACGAUAUUUGUGAAAGUAAUAGAAAAAACUCUAAACGCUAUUUAUAGUCAAACAAAAAAAUUAAUCA